GGGUUUGCUCCCUGGGGGGUGGGCUCAACCUUCUCCAGGUCCCCUCAGGCAAGCCUGGAGUAGAGGGCCAGACAUCCUGCCUGCCUGCGGAAGAGGCAUUGAACUAAGGAGCCUCACCUGGGCUGCCCUAGCCUCACAUGU
ensembl:snoRNA